ensembl:lncRNA
CAACUGUAGAUGCUUCCAUAAACAAAACAGCAGCACCUACUACGUCAAUCUCAACUGCAGGUCCUACUACCAAUUUAACUCCAACGACAACCUCAACUGAAGCUCCAACAGACAUCACAACUAUCGCUCCUAUGCACCCCACAAUUGCAACUUCAAAUGUAGCAUCACCUACAACAACAACUGCAGAUGCUUCCACAACCAUAAGUGCAGCACCUACUACCUCAAUCCCAACUGCAGGUCCUACUACCAUUUUGACUCCUAAGACAAUCACAACUGAAGCUCCUACAGAAAUCACAACUGUAGCUCUUAUACCCCCCACAAUUGCAACUUCUACUUCAACAACUGUUGCUUCCA